rnacentral:rRNA from 1 species
UAUUAACGCUGGCGGCGUGCCUAAUACAUGCAAGUCGAGCGAACAGACGAGGAGCUUGCUCCUCUGACGUUAGCGGCGGACGGGUGAGUAACACGUGGAUAACCUACCUAUAAGACUGGGAUAACUUCGGGAAACCGGAGCUAAUACCGGAUAAUAUAUUGAACCGCAUGGUUCAAUAGUGAAAGACGGUUUUGCUGUCACUUAUAGAUGGAUCCGCGCCGCAUUAGCUAGUUGGUAAGGUAACGGCUUACCAAGGCAACGAUGCGUAGCCGACCUGAGAGGGUGAUCGGCCACACUGGAACUGAGACACGGUCCAGACUCCUACGGGAGGCAGCAGUAGGGAAUCUUCCGCAAUGGGCGAAAGCCUGACGGAGCAACGCCGCGUGAGUGAUGAAGGUCUUCGGAUCGUAAAACUCUGUUAUUAGGGAAGAACAAAUGUGUAAGUAACUAUGCACGUCUUGACGGUACCUAAUCAGAAAGCCACGGCUAACUACGUG